ensembl:lncRNA
AAUAACCCUACUCCUAAACCUGGAGACAUGGGUGCAAUUCCACGUCAAGGUGGUUACGACCACUUCGUACUUGUUGCUGACGAGGGCAAAGUGAUCCACGCCACAUCUGACACCACAGCGAGUGGGAGUGUGAUCAAAAAGGAACCUCUGGAGAAGGUGGCUGCGGGUGGAAAUUUCAAAGUAAAAAACCAAGACGACAAGAAGAUCCCUCUCCCCGUUGACACUAUUCUUUCACAGGCAAAUGCCAGAGUUGGCGAAAAAGUGGAUUACAGGCCCCUGAACUAUAAUUGUGAAACCGUUGCCUCUGAGAUGAGAUACGGGAAAGGCCAAGGCCAUUCUGAACAGGCAGAGAAAUUCAAACAAAGUGCCGCCGAAAAAGGAGAAUCCUUUCUGAGCCAUGCAAAGGACACCCACAACCACUUCGAAGGCAAUUAAGGGACGAC